rnacentral:rRNA from 1 species
GACGUAGGGCGCAAGCGUUGUCCGGAUUUAUUGGGCGUAAAGAGCUCGUAGGCGGCUCGUUGCGUCGGCUGUGAAAACCCGCAGCUCAACUGUGGGCUUGCAGCCGAUACGGGCGGGCUGGAGUUCGGUAGGGGAGACUGGAAUUCCUGGUGUAGCGGUGAAAUGCGCAGAUAUCAGGAGGAACACCGGUGGCGAAGGCGGAUCUCUGGGCCGAUACUGACGCUGAGGAGCGAAAGCGUGGGGAGCGAACAGG